rnacentral:rRNA from 1 species
UAGGGAAUAUUAGUAAUGGGCGAAAGCCUGAACUAGCAACACCGCGUGUGCGAAGAAGGCCUUCGGGUUGUAAAGCACUUUUUGAGAGGAUGAGGAAGGACGGUACUCUCAGAAUAAGUCUCAGCUAACUACGUGCCAACAGCCGCGGUAACACGGAGGAGGCAAACGUUAUCCGACUUUACUUGGCGUAAAUCGCGUGUAGGUGGUUUGGUAAGUAGAGCGUGAAAGCUCCUGGCUCAACUGGGGGAGUGCGUUUUAAACUGUCGGACUAGAGGAUGGUAGAGGGAGGUAGAAUUCCGGGUGUAGCGGUGGAAUGCGCAGAUAUCCGGAGGAAUACCAGUGGCGAAAGCGGCCUCCUGGACCACUCCUGACACUCAGACGCGAAAGCUAGGGUAGCAAACG